rnacentral:tRNA from 1 species
GGCUCCUUAGUUUAAUGGAUAAAAUGGAGGAUUCCGGUUCCUCAGAUACAGGUUCGAUUCCCGUAGGAGCUA